GAACGCUGAGGGCGGAACAGGCAGCCGCCAUCCAGAGCAAUCCGCAGGAGAUGUGGGAGCGUCACCCCACCUCGUUC
rnacentral:ncRNA from 12 species